UACGAAGGGGGCGAGCGUUGUUCGGAUUUACUGGGCGUAAAGGGCGCGCAGGCGGCGAUCUUUGUCAGGCGUGAAAGCCCCGGGCUCAACCUGGGAAUUGCAUUCGAGACUGCAUAGCUAGGGUGCGGAAGAGGGAAGCGGAAUUUCCGGUGUAGCGGUGAAAUGCGUAGAUAUCGGAAGGAACACCAGUGGCGAAAGCGGCUUCCUGGUCCAGCACCGACGUUCAGGCACGAAAGCGUGGGGAGCAAACAGG
rnacentral:rRNA from 1 species